AUUUCCUUAAGUAGUUCCACUCCGCACCUUCGUUCUGUGUUGAUGUACACCCAAGGCGAUACAUGGCUUCAAGAGGAACAAAGCAACUUUCUAUUCCAAGGCUUUAAGUUGCUUAGGGUGCUAUAUCUAGACGGUGUAAAAAUAACCGAGCUACCGAAGCAAAUAGGUGAACUAAUCCAUUUGAGAUAUCUCAGGUGUACUAAAACUGGGUUAGAAACGCUCCCAUCAUCGAUAGGCAAUCUUAUCAAUUUACAAACUCUAUUUGUACAAUCCAAUUAUUAUAUUAAAGUACCGGAGACAAUUGGGAAGAUGCAUCAGUUAAGACAUCUUCAAUUGGGCGAGUACAAACGACUAGGUGAUUUCAUACCGAUAAUUGAACAUUGGGGAGAGAUAGGAGGGCAUCCGAGGCUCGACCUGAUAAGUAACCUCCAGACUCUAUCUGGAGUAUAUGCUGGCAAAUGGAUGGAGGGUUGCUUGGGAAAGCUCACCAAUCUUAGAAAUUUAAAAAUACAUUGCAAAACAGGAGCUGAUGCUGAGUUAUUAUAUGAGGCGAUUGUCAAUCUGAACUGCCUCCAUCAUCUGUGGGUGUCGAUGGCAGUAAUGACAGGUGGCAAUGAAGACAGAGCCUUAGUUUUGUCGUUACCUAAUCUUUCACAUCUUGUCAAGUUAAGUAAGUUGUAUUUGGGAGGAAAGUUAGAGACGUUACCUGAAUUUCCAACAAACCUCACCAUACUCACCCUGCAAUACUCCCGGUUAAAGGAAGACCCAAUGGCAACGUUGGAGAAGCUGAAAAGCCUUCGCAUUCUCAGAUUGCUUAAUUGUUCACAUAUCCGAAAGAUAAUGUAUUGCUCUGCACAAGGGUUUCCUCGGCUUGAAUCCUUAUAUCUUCAUGACUUGGAUGAAUUAGAGGAGUGGAAAGUGGAGAAAAGAGCUAUGCCAAGUCUUUUACAUUUAUGCAUCCAUGCCUGCAAGAAAUUGCAGAAGCUUCCAGCAGGACUGCGAUACGUGACUACCCUCAAGAAAUUGGACUUGUGGUCGAUGCCUUAUGAAUUCAAAGCAACGGUUCGAGAAGACCGGGGAGAGGAUUGGUAUAAGAUCCAGCACAUACCCUCCAUCCACAUACGAUAGAUAAUGAGAAGCUAAGCAGUCGGACUUUAAUUUCUAUCAUUAUGAGAGAUUUUCAGUGGUACAGAGGCCGGUUGGUGGCGAUGCAGUGCGUAGUAAGCCCACGUUUUUUGCUUUGGUGUUUUGGGGAUCCAUACUGUCGCAUAGCUUGCUGUCUACAUAUUUUUGUCCUAUAAGCCAUUUGGUAUAUUUUUUCAGAUGAAUGGAUUUUGUAUUUGUUUCCUUCCUACGAUAGGCGAGGCCCCAUUGAUUUUAUUUUUAUAGGAGCCUGCCCGAAAAAAUGGACAGUCUGUUCUUGGAAUUAAUAAUAUUAUAGGUGGCCUGCUCACACCUUUAAUUAAUAAAUAAAAUAAAAUAAAAAAGAGGCUAUGAUCAUACAGCCCCUGUCUUGGCAAAAACAGAACACACUACAUUUUAUUAUUGUGUUUGCACUUCUACGUUACUUGACCUGUGCCAACCUGGCACAUGUACUGGACAUAUGAGCCGUGCACAUGGCAAGACUUACUCCAGUCAUUUGGAUGUCAUGGACAAGUUGGUACGUGCACCUACGAGGUGAUUAAGGACGUGCUUCGAUUACAGAUUGAAGGGCUUUGAUGGGUGUUAUCUUGCAUUGAUUGAAUCCAGCAUCAGAUAAGAGUCUCCUCCACUCCUUUUUUCCUCCUGUCUUAGCCAGCAUUAUCAUGUCCGUUGCUUACCUCAUAGGUUCAAGCUCAUGCCGAUCAUCAACGUCUAUGAUAAUGUCGACUAUGAUAACCAUACCACUCUCUGCAUCUAUGGCAUCCUUACAUCUCUUUAAGAUCUUCACACAAUCCUCAUCACCCCAGUUGUGUAGUACCCACUGUAACCAACGAUUGAUGAGAGAGUUUACACAUAUGCAUGACCAAGCUGCUCAUCAAGAGAGUGUCACUACAUGGCUUCCCUUACACAAGAUUCAGGCUGUCUGCUCAUCUGAUGCACCAUAUGUUAAAUGCUAACUGUCCAUUACAUUUGCAUAGUAUUGGCUCACAUUAUUUGCAUCCGACCUGAUUCUUGGACCAAGCAUAAGUUGUGGGGCAACCAUCGAGAGGUUAGACAGGAGCUUCGAGUAAGAUUUUUGGAGCAUCUUUCGUCUAUGGCAGUGUAUUAAAUCAAAGUUUGGAUUUCAGAACUACUAGCCCCACUUGUUUCACGCAUCAAGAUACUUGGACUGAAUGCAUUUGAAGCUAUACUUCCUGUUUAAUCAAUUAUUAGUUUUUAAAGUUGCGCAUUUUUCUCACAACAGAGAUUGCAAUGCUCUGCAUGUGCUAUGUGACUAGACGAAGUGAAGAAUGGUGGAAUGGUGACUAGACAGUGAUGAGAUGUUUGGAUGAUCAUUUGUAUUUGUAACUCAAGGAUCUACGUACUUUCUGUUUGAGAUAUUUCAAUAUGGAACCAUGCACUACUAUUCGUUACAUGCUCUGCAUUUUAAUUUGGGGAAAUUGCUCAUUAGUGUUUGACUUAUUUCACUGUAUGCAUUGUUUGCCUGUAAUAUGUUAGUUGAAAACUGAAAUAAGAAGCAAUUUCUUUACAGUA